rnacentral:rRNA from 1 species
AGUGAACGCUGGCGGUAGGCCUAACACAUGCAAGUCGAACGGCAGCACAGGAUAGCUUGCUCUCUGGGUGGCGAGUGGCGGACGGGUGAGGAAUACAUCGGAAUCUACUUUUUCGUGGGGGAUAACGUAGGGAAACUUACGCUAAUACCGCAUACGACCUACGGGUGAAAGCAGGGGACCUUCGGCCCUUGCGCGAUUGAAUGAGCCGAUGUCGGAUUAGUUAGUUGGCGGGGUAAAGGCCCACCAAGGCGACGAUCCGUAGCUGGUCUGAGAGGAUGAUCAGCCACACUGGAACUGAGACACGGUCCAGACUCCUACGGGAGGCAGCAGUGGGGAAUAUUGGACAAUGGGCGCAAGCCUGAUCCAGCCAUACCGCGUGGGUGAAGAAGGCCUUCGGGUUGUAAAGCCCUUUUGUUGGGAAAGAAAUCCAGCUGGCUAAUACCCGGUUGGGAUGACGGUACCCAAAGAAUAAGCACCGGCUAACUUCGUGCCAGCCGCCGCCGUAA